rnacentral:lncRNA from 1 species
AAUUUCUGCAAUUAUGUUUAUCCCACCUUUUUUUUUUUUUUUCUUAUAAUGGAGUUCAGAAAUCCUUAACUCUAUAAGGGGAAAAUAGCAGAGAGAAUUGAGGGUUUGGAGCUUCUCUCUUAUGCCUGCCUUAUUCCACUCAGUUAUGGUAUCUGCAUGUCUCCUGUGAGCAUCCGUGUCUCUAGCUCUUUCCUUGGACCCUGCUGUAGACUUGUACCUCUACUGUUCAGACCUACCCACGCUGCAGCUGUAGCUGUUUACUCACAGCAAGAGAGAGAGGCUAAGACCAGCAAGCCCAGUGGGUGCCCCAACUCAAGCAAACAUGUAUUGGCCAGGUCUGAGUUGUUACAUGCCAAGGAGAGGAGCAGGUAGCAAAAGUUUUUUCUAAGCCCAUGGACUUGGGAAAGUGAUGGACUUGUGGGUGGGGGAGGUGGGUAGGAUAAAUGGCAGCAGGGUGAGGGGGUCCGUUUAAGGCUACUCAAGUUCUUCUGACUCUCCAGUCAGAAUUACUCAAUCAUUUAGGGUAGGGCCAUACAUACACAUGGGGGAAAUGUCAGGGUUUGGCGUUAAGAAAGCUAGGAAAGAAAUAGGUAUGGGAAAGUAUUUCAUGGGUGCAAUGGUUGAUGAUCCAGCAUCUACUUUCCUAGUGCUCUACAGCUGGAAAAGGCAGAGGCAAUGGCUUUAAUUUUAUUUGCAAAGCUAGUUAAGAGUCGAUGGAAGAACUGACACUAUUUGAUAAACUGUGCCCAAACUCUAGAUGAACACUAUUUCAAAGAGCAUUAAGCACAGAUAUAAGAGCAGACUCAAAACAGACCACCUGGAUUUGAUUCUCAGCUCUGCCACUUAUUAGCUGGGAACAUCCAGACACAUUUUGAACAUGUCUUUGCUUUGGUUUCCUCAUUUACGGAAUGAGGGUAUAAUAGUAAUUUACCUGUUGAAGUUAUUAUACAUAACAUACUUACAACAUUGUCUGGUACAAGUAAAUGAUAGUUAUUUUUAUUGAGAAAAUAGCACCCUAGUUACAUAAUAGUUUCUUACACAAGUUUGUCAAAUUCUGGAGUAGGGAGGCAUCUUGGACAGAGAGAUGAUUUCAAAGUGUAAAACUGACUAGCUCUGGCACUCAAUUCUCACCUCUCUUUCUCCCUUUUUUCCUACUCACUAAUUUUUAGUGUGUUCCCCUUCCUCUUUUUUUUCUUUCUCUCAUAAUUCUAUACAUUCCCAAUUGACUUUUCCCAUAAGCCCGUUGAGAGAGCCAGAGCAAGUUUUAUUAACUCCAAUUCACUAAAAUGCAGGCAAGUGAAGUAGUUUAUCCACGGCUCACAGGGUGAACUUCACACAUCUGCCUUGAGAACCUGAUCCUUCCUCUUGGAGCAAUUUGCUUCUGAUUUCUUGGUGGAGAAUCAGUAGCGAUGGGUUUAAGGGCUCUGGGAAGACUAGAAAGUUGCCCUCUCUAAACACAUUUAUUGAAAGUGGCACCUUAGAAAAAAAGGGACUAUGUAAACUCAAUAUUAUUAAGUAUGAUGGAAAAGUAUAAAGUAUGUAGAAAGCAGGCAUUAGUACGUUUGACAUUCAACAUCAGUAGAGGUCAGAUCAUGAGGCACACAGAGAAAAUAGUCAAAAGGGGCACUUUUUUAUAAUGUGAUUGCUACUCCACCUUGCCCACCUCCUGGUAUUAGAAACAGCCUUUCUGUGAUUAUGCGUAUGGGUGAUUGAGUAGUAACACAAUGACUUCAUUUCCAUUUCCCAGCUUCCUGUGGGAAGGUUUGGAUCCAGCCUGCAAGAGCCAUGAUUGUAGGAGUAUAAUGAUAACUGAUGUUUAUACAGUACUUUACAAUUUUCACAAGGAUUUCCAUCUAUUGGCUUCUCACUACACCAUUAUUACCAUUCCCACUUCACAGGCAAGUAAACUGAGUCACAGGUAAGCAAGGCUAACAGAGUUUGCAUAGAUAAUCUCACAGAGCUAACACCAGAACUCAGGUCUGUAGUGCUUCUUCUACCUUCCACUUAUGUGGAAUAGUUUGAUGUUUAAUAUUUUAAGCAGGUAAGUAUUUGAGUCCUCUCUACCCCUUACCAGCACUGUUACCUGGAAUAGCUCCUGAAUCUUCAGCUUCCUCAUGAAACAGAGGAAAUAAUACUAUUUAUGAGAUUUGAAUGGACUAAAUUAUGUAAAGCACUGAGAACAUUGCUUAGCCCAUAGUAAGUACUCAAUAAAAUCUAGCUGUCAUUAUGAUUGGUCUGUCUUCUGCCAUUUUCUUUGCUUUGCAUUGAAGAGAACUGUCCAUGAUUUUAGAUUACACUCAGAAGCCCUAUGUUUCUAGGUUUAUGUUAUCCUAAAAUGUUAUUACCAUUUGUUGCUUUGGUAAGACUAGGAACUUGGAAACUACGUGAGUUAAAUGGACAGUAUCCCUGGCAUUAAUGCCCAACGUAUUGUAGGACAAUCAUUUUCAGAUGGUUUACUAUGCAUAAUACUUACGUGGAUUAAGUAUCAAGGUAGUUUAAAGUGCAGCUUCCUAAGCAUCGCUCCUCCCAUUCUGAUUCUGGAAUGGCCUGAGGCCCAGGAAUCUACAAACUUCUACAGGUACCCUUGGAGGUCGUAAGGAGCGCUGUGAAAAGCCUUAACUGGCAUUGGCAUUUACCCUACCACUGCUGCUGCUGUUGCUGCUGCUUCACUUUCUUUUUCUCCUCUUCUUCCU